rnacentral:rRNA from 1 species
GAUGAACGCUGACAGAAUGCUUAACACAUGCAAGUCAUUGGCGAAGCUGCGCUUGCGCAGUCUAGCCAAGGCGGACGGGUGAGUAACGCGUAAGGAACUUGCCCUGCAGACAGGGAUAACAGACGGAAACGACUGAUAACACCUGGUAUUGUCAGGCUGGCGCAUGCCGGCCUGAUGAAAGGAGACGCUGCAGGAGAGCCUUGCGUCCUAUUAGCUAGUUGGUGGGGUAACGGCCCACCAAGGGGAUGAUAGGUAGCCGGCCUGAGAGGGUGAACGGCCACAAGGGGACUGAGAUACGGCCCUUACUCCUACGGGAGGCAGCAGUGGGGAAUAUUGGACAAUGGGGGCAACCCUGAUCCAGCAAUUCUGUGUGCACGAAGAAGGUUUUCGGAUUGUAAAGUGCUUUCAGCAGGGAAGAAGAAAGUGACGGUACCUGCAGAAGAAGCGACGGCUAAAUACGUG